rnacentral:rRNA from 1 species
GCGAGUGGCGAACGGGUGAGUAAUAUAUCGGAACGUACCCAAGAGUGGGGGAUAACGUAGCGAAAGUUACGCUAAUACCGCAUACGAUCUAAGGAUGAAAGCAGGGGAUCUUCGGACCUUGUGCUCCUGGAGCGGCCGAUAUCUGAUUAGCUAGUUGGUGAGGUAAAGGCUCACCAAGGCCACGAUCAGUAGCUGGUCUGAGAGGACGACCAGCCACACUGGAACUGAGACACGGUCCAGACUCCUACGGGAGGCAGCAGUGGGGAAUUUUGGACAAUGGGCGAAAGCCUGAUCCAGCAAUGCCGCGUGAGUGAAGAAGGCCUUCGGGUUGUAAAGCUCUUUUGUCAGGGAAGAAACGGUGAGGGCUAAUAUCCCUCGCUAAUGACGGUACCUGAAGAAUAAGCACCGGCUAACUACGUGCCAGCAGCCGCGGUAAUACGUAGGGUGCAAGCGUUAAUCGGAAUUACUGGGCGUAAAGCGUGCGCAGGCGGUUUUGUAAGUCUGACGUGAAAUCCCCGGGCUCAACCUGGGAAUUGCGUUGGAGACUGCAAGGCUAGAAUCUGGCAGAGGGGGGUAGAAUUCCACGUGUAGCAGUGAAAUGCGUAGAGAUGUGGAGGAACACCGAUGGCGAAGGCAGCCCCCUGGGUCAAGAUUGACGCUCAUGCACGAAAGCGUGGGGAGCAAACAGGAUUAGAUACCCUGGUAGUCCACGCCCUAAACGAUGUCUACUAGUUGUCGGGUUUUAAUUAACUUGGUAACGCAGCUAACGCGUGAAGUAGACCGCCUGGGGAGUACGGUCGCAAGAUUAAAACUCAAAGGAAUUGACGGGGACCCGCACAAGCGGUGGAUGAUGUGGAUUAAUUCGAUGCAACGCGAAAAACCUUACCUACCCUUGACAUG